GUAAGUUUGACGUGAAAUCCCGUUGCUCAACAACGGAACUGCGUCGAAUACUGCUCAGCUGGAGGUUCGGAGAUGAGGGCGGAAUUCUCGGUGUAGCGGUGAAAUGCGUAGAUAUCGAGAGGAACGCCGAUGGCGAAAGCAGCCCUCAAGACGAAAUCUGACCCUGAAACACGAAGGCCAGGGGAGCAAACGGGAUUAGAUACCCCGGUAGUCCUGGCAGUAAACGGUGCUCAUUAGAUGUAGGCGGAUUCGACCCCGCCUGUGUCGAACCUAACGGAUUAAAUGAGCCGCCUGGGAAGUACGGUCGCAAGAUUAAAACUCAAAGAAAUUGACGGGGGCCCGCACAAGCGGUGGAGUAUGUGGCUUAAUUCGAUGCAACGCGAAGAACCUUACCUGGCCUUGACAUGCUUAGUUCAGGCGUGGAAACACGCUGGCCCGCAAGGGCGAUUUGCACAGGUGCUGCAUGGCUGUCGUCAGCUCGUGUCGUGAGAUGUUGGGUUAAGUCCCGCAACGAGCGCAACCCUCGUGGUUAGUUAUUCCCGGGCAACCGGAAUCUGACCAGACUGCCCUGUGAAACGGGGAGGAAGGUGGGGACGACGUCAAGUCCGUAUGGCCCUUACGGCCAGGGCUGCACACGUACUACAAUGCCCAAUACAGAGGGACGCAAGACCGCAAGGUGGAGCUAAUCCCGUAAAGUUGGGCCCAGUUCGGAUUGGAGGCUGCAACUCGCCUCCAUGAAGUUGGAAUCGCUAGUAAUGGCGCAUCAGCUACGGCGCCGUGAAUACGUUCCCGGGCCUUGUACACACCGCCCGUCACAUCAUGAAAGCCGGUCUUACCCAAAGUCGCCUCCGGGUGCCUAAGGUAAGGCUGGUGAUUGGGAUG
rnacentral:rRNA from 1 species